rnacentral:rRNA from 1 species
UACGGAGGAUGCAAGCGUUAUCCGGAUUUAUUGGGUUUAAAGGGUGCGCAGGUUGUUUGAUAAGUCAGUGGUGAAAGUCUGUCGCUUAACGGUAGGAUUGCCAUUGAUACUGUUAGACUUGAAUAUGGAUGAGGUAGGCGGAAUGUGUAGUGUAGCGGUGAAAUGCAUAGAUAUUACACAGAACACCGAUUGCGAAGGCAGCUUACUAAACUACUACUGACGCUCAUGCACGAAGGCGUGGGGAUCAAACAGGA